GAACUUUUGAUACCUUUUCUGAAAUUCUCCAGUCAAUAAAUCUUUCACAAAAUUCAUUGAUUACAAAAAAAAGAAGAUGUGGUAUGAUUGCCAUAUUGAGACAACUCUCCACAAGAGACCGAUAUGACACAGAAAUUAACAACUAUAGGUCACCGUACGACCUUCAACAACGAGCAAAGCCCAUACCGCAUACUCAGCUUUAAAAGACCCCG
rnacentral:lncRNA from 1 species